UACGUAGGGGGCAAGCGUUGUCCGGAUUCAUUGGGCGUAAAGAGCGUGUAGGCGGCCUGGAAGGUCAGCUGUGAAAACUCGAGGCUCAACCUCGAGACGUCGGUUGAAACCACCUGGCUAGAGUCCGGAAGAGGAGUGUGGAAUUCCCGGUGUAGCGGUGGAAUGCGCAGAUAUCGGGAGGAACACCAGUGGCGAAGGCGACUACCUGGACCAGCACUGACACUGAGGCACGAAAGCGUGGGGAGCAAACAGGG
rnacentral:rRNA from 1 species